rnacentral:rRNA from 1 species
GACGUAGGGCGCGAGCGUUGUCCGGAUUUAUUGGGCGUAAAGAGCUCGUAGGCGGCUUGUUGCGUCAGCUGUGAAAACCCGGGGCUCAACUCCGGGCCUGCAGUCGAUACGGGCUGGCUUGAGUGCGGUAGGGGAGACUGGAAUUCCUGGUGUAGCGGUGAAAUGCGCAGAUAUCAGGAGGAACACCGGUGGCGAAGGCGGGUCUCUGGGCCGUAACUGACGCUGAGGAGCGAAAGCGUGGGGAGCGAACAGG